AGCGGUGAGAGGAGGGGCGUUUGUGUAUGUGUGAAGGAGCAGUCGGUCUCCUCCCCUCGUCUCCCCCCGCCCUCUCGCGCCCCCCARGCCUUUGUGUGCGCGAGGCUCUCUGUGAGCGGCGGUUCUUCAAGUGAGAUAUCGGUUCGUUUCUGAGCGCUGUUUGGGUGGGCUGUUCGAACAUAGCGUGGCUGACUGGGACUGGGGUGAACCGGUAAAAGGCACGUGAAACGUCGGAGUUUAUUCACACACGCGCGAUCAGAAGGGAAAAUAACGGAGAAAUAUCGAAUAUAGGACUUUCCCCUUUCGUCUUACCCAUCUAUCAUUCUCUCGUCCUCUCUAUCCGUGGAGAAUCUGACCAACCCAAACCACCUGAUGUGUGUGUAUGUGUGUUUUGGGGGCGUAAAACAACGGGCAGCGAGUGAAGAUGGAUUAACGUUUGAACGGAAAACUGGAGCAGCACACUAGACCUCGGCGAGGGGGGAGGGCAAGACGGGCCUCUGCUAACACACACAACCCGCGGGACAGAGACUCUGAUUGGACCAACACCAGGAUGAUGUCGUCACCGAAAGCAAGACCAA